AUUGAACGCUGGCGGCAUGCCUUACACAUGCAAGUCGAACGGCAGCACGGGAGCAAUCCUGGUGGCGAGUGGCGAACGGGUGAGUAAUAUAUCGGAACGUGCCCAGUCGUGGGGGAUAACGUAGCGAAAGCUACGCUAAUACCGCAUACGAUCUAUGGAUGAAAGCGGGGGAUCGCAAGACCUCGCGCGAUUGGAGCGGCCGAUAUCAGAUUAGGUAGUUGGUGAGGUAAAGGCUCACCAAGCCGACGAUCUGUAGCUGGUCUGAGAGGACGACCAGCCACACUGGGACUGAGACACGGCCCAGACUCCUACGGAGGCAGCAGUGGGGAAUUUUGGACAAUGGGCGCAAGCCUGAUCCAGCAAUGCCGCGUGCAGGAUGAAGGCC
rnacentral:rRNA from 1 species